AGGACCUACGGGACGCAGCAGUGAGGAAUAUUGGUCAAUGGCCGGAAGGCUGAACCAGCCAAGCCGCGUGAAGGACGAAGGUGCCAAGCAUUGUAAACUUCUUUUGUCAAGGGACAAAAUCAGGCUCGAGAGCCUGACCGCGGGUACUUGAAGAAAAAGCAUCGGCUAACUCCGUGCCAGCAGCCGCGGUACUACGGAGGAUGCGAGCGAUAUCCGGAUUUAGUGGGUUUAAAGGGUGCGUAGGCGGAC
rnacentral:rRNA from 1 species